UUGUAUUGGAAUGAUAGAAAUUUAAACCCUUUUUAAAGUAUCAAUUGGAGGGCAAGUCUGGUGCCAGCAGCCGCGGUAAUUCCAGCUCCAAUAGCGUAUAUUAAAAUUGUUGCAGUUAAAAAGCUCGUAGUUGAAGUUCUGCUAAAAGUAACCGGUCUGCUUUUAAUAAAGGUGGUAUCUUGGUGUGUAUUUAGCAAUGAUGUCCUUUGAAGUGUUUUUUACUUUAUUGUAAUAAAGCAUAUUCAGGACUUUUACUUUGAGAAAAUUAGAGUGUUUCUAGCAGGCUAACGCUUUGAAUACUGCAGCAUGGAAUAAUAAGAUAGGAUUUUAGUUCUACAUUAUUGGUUUUAAGAGCUAAAUUAAUGAUUGAUAGGGACAGUUGGGGGCAUUUGUAUUUAACUGUCAGAGGUGAAAUUCUUAGAUUUGUUAAAGACAAACUACUGCGAAAGCAUUUGCCAAAGAUGUUUUCAUUAAUCAAGAACGAAAGUUAGGGGAUCGAAGACGAUCAGAUACCGUCGUAGUCUUAACUAUAAACUAUGCCGA
rnacentral:rRNA from 1 species